AUUAUUACUUCGCUAAAGGAUGCAUGAUCACAAAUAUUUGUAAUGAAGAUAGUGACUCCUUUUUUCUCAAAAUAAUUUUAAAUUAACUUAAACAUGCCUGAUUUUCAGAAAGAAAGUAUUAAAAGUAAAACCAUACCUUUAAUUUAGGACUGACUUCUGCAUUUCAACUGUAGAUUAUUCUAGUAUGAAGAGUGCUAUUUGCAUGUUGGAAUGAAUAUCUUUUAAUUCUUAAUUUGUAAGUUACAAAGAAAUAGGAGACUGAAAUACUUUUUAUCUUACAAAAUUCCAAACACCUUUUCAAGCAAUUUAUAUCUUAUUUCUGUAAUAGUUUUAUCACCAGCCAAUGGGUAUGCACUGUAUGUCAUAAUAUGGAAAGAAAUUCUUUAUUAUUUCAGAUAUUAAGGAUUUCAGAUUUUAAAAGAGUUAUCAGUGAAACCAUGUUACAAGAAUAUUUCCUUCCUGAGACAUCUCAGUAUUAUAGGUGGCUUCAGACUCACAGGCACAGAAUACGAUAGUGGGAAGCAUCUGAUUCGCUUUACUCUACUUGGUACCUUUAGGACGUUCAGCCAGAGGUGAUUGGAGGGAUUUGCACGUCUACCACUCGUGUGUGUAUCUGUGAACCAUAUCUCCUUUAGUGCCUGCUUUUGAACGUUAUAUAAACAGAAUGAUGCUGCCUGUUUAUUUCUAUAAUUUUCUUCUUUUCCUUAGCAUGUGCUGUUCUUGGCAGCUUGCUUCUCCAUGUGAAUUUUGGAAAAGCUUCUGAAGUUCCCUUUAGUAAACACCAAGAGAACUAUUGCUGGGUCGUAUCGUAGUUGCAUGUUCAGUUCUCUAAGGCACUACCAAUCUGUUUUCUUUUCUUUUUUGUUUUUUUUUGAGACAGGGUCUCACUCUGUCACCUAGGCUGAAGUGCAGUGGUGUGAUCAUGGCUCACUGCAGCUUUGACCUUCCUGGGAUCAGGUGAUCCUCUCAGCUCAGCCUCCCGAGUAGCUAGGACUAUAGGCAUGCACCACCACGCCCAUCUAAUUUAUUGUAUUUUUAGUAGAGACCAUGGAUUUCGCCAUGCUUCCCAGGCUAGUCUUGAACUCCUGGGGUCAAGUGAUCCUCCCUCCUCGGCCUCCAAGUGCUGGGAUUACAGGUAUGAGCCACUGCAUCCAGCCCAACCUGUUUUCUAGAGUGACUGUUUUAUAGUUUUAAAGUCCCUCAUCCAUUUUGAGCUAUGUUUUUGGUGUAAUUUAUGUGGUUUAGGUCAAUGUCCAGUUGCUCCAGCACCAUUUGUUGUAAUUGUGUAAAAAAUCAGAUGAGCAUUUUUUUGUUGCUCUAUUUCUGGGUUCUCUAUUCUGCUCCAAUCAUCUUUGCAUCCAUGCCUCUGCCAAUAUAAUAUGGUCUAAUGACUACAGCUAUUAUUGUAAGCCUUAAGGAAAAAAUAAAACAGUCCCUAUUUUCAGAUGGCAAGAUGGUUUACACAGAAAACCCCAAGGUAUCUCCAAAAAAGAGCUCCUAGAACUGGUAAGUGAGUUCAGCAAGGUUGCUGGAUUCAAGAGUAAUACACAAAUGUCAAUCACAUUUUGCAUAUUAACGAUGAACAUAUGGAAAGCAAAAUUUAAAACACAAUGUCAUUUAUAAUUAAUUGCUCCAAAUAAAAUGAAAUGCCUAGAAUAUACACUUAAUAAAACAUGAAUAGAAUUUGUAUGUUGAAAAUUACAAAAUGCUGAUGAAAGAAAUCAAAGAAGAACUAAAUAAAUGGAGAGACAUACUGUACUUAUGAAUUGGAAGAUUCAGUAUAGUAAAGAUGUCAUUUCUCCCCAACUUGAUAAUAGUUGUAAUGAAAUUGAAUUAAUGAAUCAAAUAGAGUGAUUUCUCCCACUUUCUUCUUCUUCAUCCAGAUUGUUUUAGCUAUUCUUGGGCCUGCGCUUUUUUCAUAUAAAUUUUACAAUAAACUUACCUUUGUCUAUAAAAAAACCUUGUUGGGAUUUUGAUAGGAAUUUCAUUACAUCUGUAGAUCAAUUUGGGAAGAAAUGACAUGCUUACUAUACUGAAUCUUCCAAUUCAUGAAUUAGUAUGUCUCUCCAUUUAUAUAGGUCAUUUCUUAUAGGUUGAUUAUAGGUAUAUAGGUUGAUUUCUUUUGUCAGCAUUUUUUUAUUUUGUUGUGUUAUGUCCAUGGGUUUUAGUUGUAAAGGAGAGGACCUGGGGGAAAAGGAGCUACUUCAUCUUGGUGGAAUUGGAAGUCCUAUUACAGUUGUCUCCUCUUAUCCAUGCUUUUGCUUGGAAAGUUAGUUUCAGUUACUUGUGGUCAACAGUGGUCUGAAAAUAUUAAAUGGAAAAUUCCAUAAAUAAAGAAUUCAUAAGUUUUAAAUUUUGCACUGUUCUGAGUAGCAUGAUGAAAUCUUGCCCCUUUCUGCUCCAUCCCACCCAGGACGUGAAUCAUUUCUUUAUCCAGCAUAUCUACUCAGCAUAUGCUGCCUGACCACUAGUUACUUGGUAGUCCUCUUGGUUAUCAGACCAAAAAACUAGUAUAUAUAGCGUUUGGUACUAUGUGUGGUUUCAGGCAUCCUCUGGGGGUCUUGGAAUGUAUCUCUUGCAGGUAAGGAGGACUCUCUAUUGGCUUUUGAACUCUUCAAGGUCAGAGAUUUUGUCUGCUUUUUUUCUGCAACAUGAAGUCUAGCAUGCUGUCUGUCACAGUAGAUGGUUUAAUACAUGUCGGAUUAAUAAACAAGUAAUUGAUAUUUGUUGAGAAAAUAAUUUUGUGUUGGAUGCAGAGAAUAUGUAUGAGGUAUUUUUUCUACCCUUAGAGAACAAACUAUAUGACUGUGAAAACUUAAUGUGAAACUUACACGUUUAGUUUUGUGUAAUGUGGUUUUGUUUAGUGGGUAUUAGAAUGAAAUUUGAAAUCCAGUGGUCCUGGAUAUGAAUCUGGCCUCCAUUAAUUUACUAGCUAUAUGACCUUGGGAAAGUUCCUUAACUUCUCUGACACUAGGAUUUUCUCAUUUAAAAAAUUGGGUGCUGGCUGUAGUCACCUGUCAGGGUUUUUAUAAGGUUAAAUGGUAUAAUACAUGAAAAGUACUUGACUCUGUGCUUGACAUGUAGGAAGCCCUCAAAACUGGUAGUGACUAAAGAAAAUGAUAAGCAGCAUUACAGCACAGGUAAGUGAUAACUGGGUUACACAAAGUAUAACAGGAACGCCUAUGGAAACCUAAAGUUGUAGGGAAAGACUUUAUGGAGGAAGCAGGACUUGAUCUAGCCCUUAAAAAAGAACAACGCUAGCUGGGCACAGUGGCUCAUGCCUGUAAUCCCAGCACUCUGGGAGGCCGAGGUGGGCGGAUCACCUGAGGUCGGGCGUUCGAGACCAGCCUGACCAACAUGGAGAAACCCUGUCUCUACUAAAAAUACAAAAUCAGCCGGGUACAGUGGCACAUGCCUGUAAUCCCAGCUACUCGGGAGGCUGAGGCAGGAGAAUCGCUUGAAACCAGGAGGUGGAGGUUGUGGUGAGUCGAGAUCGUGCCAUUGCACUCCAACCUGGGCAACAAGAGUGAAACUCCAUCUCAAAAAAAACAAAACAAAACAACAAUGCUUAGACAAGCUUCGAGGUGAGAGUGAGUGAACAUGGUUAUGGCAUUCCAAAGAGACAAGACAUAAUGAGCUAUGGUUAGGAAGCUGCAAUGUGUAUGGCAGGCUCGCAAAACAAAAAGAUUACUUGGAUGAUCCAAGAAAUCUUGUACAGAAGUAAUAGCAAUAAGGUAGACUAGAUGUCCUGAAAAUCAUUCCUCUACAAAAUCCCUAAAAAUGCUUAUUUUUUAAAGACUUUAUAGUUACAUUUUCAAAAAGUAAGGGAAAUCCUCAAAUUCCAAAAAAGUACUUAAAAGCAUGAAUUCAAGCAUCAGAGUUAAACUACAUAGCAGACCAAAUAGGCCUAAGCGACAUUUACAGACCAUUUCACCCAAAUGCUGCAGAAUACACGUUAUUUUCAUCAGGACAUGGAACAUUCUCCAGAACAGAUCAUAUCUUAGGCCAUGUGACAAGUCUCAACAGAUUUUUUAAAAAUAUAAAUCAUAUCAAGUGUCUUUUCUAACAAAAAUGGAAUAAAACUAGAAAUCAGUAGCAAGAAGAACCUUGAAAACCACAAAACACAUGGAAACUAAACAACAUGCUCUUGAACAACCUAUGGGUGAGAAAAGAAAUAAAGAAGAAAAUUAAAAAAUUUAUUGAACUACAUCACAAAGGAAAUACAACAUACCAAAUCUAUUGAAUAUAGCAAAAGCAGUACUAAGAGGGAAGUUUAUAGCAAUAAAUAUCUAUAUCAAAAAAGUAGAAAGACUUUAAAUAAACAACCUAAAAUGUGCCAUAAGGAACUAGAAAAAAAGAAAAAACCAAACCCUAAAUUAGUAGAAGGAAAUAAAUAAUAAAGAUCAGAGCAGAAAUAUAUGAAACUGAGACUUAAAAAUACAGAUCAAUAAAAUGAAAAGUUGGUUUUUUGAAAAAAUAAACAAAAUCAACAAACCCUUAGCUAGAUUAAGAAAAAAAGAGAGAAGACCCAAAUAAAAUUAGAAACAAAGAAGGAGACACAACUGAGACCACAGAAAUAGAAUCAUUAGAGACUGUUAUGAACAACUACAUGCCAACAAAUUUUUAAAAAUUCUAGGGAACUUAGAAAAAUGGAUAAAUUCCUGGACACAUACAACUUACCAAAAUUGAACAAUGAAGAAAUAGAAAACAUCCACAAACCAAUAAUGAAUCAGGAGAUCAAAGCCGUAAUAAAAUGUCUCUCAUCAAAGAAAAGCCCAGGACCUGAUGACUUUAGUGCUGAAUUCUAAACCAAACUCUAACCAAACUCCUAAAAAAAAAAAAAAAAAAAAAAAAAAAAAAAAAAAAUUGGACAGGAGGGAAUAACUGCAAACUCACUCUGUAAGGUCAACAUUACCCUGAUACCAAAACCAGACCAAAAAAGAAAACUACAAGCCAAUAUCACUGAUGAACAUGGUUGGGAAAUCCUCAACAAACCAAAGCAAUCCUGGGCAAAAAGAACAAAGGAAGCAUCACACUACCUCCGUUAAAAUGGCUUUUAUCAAAAGGGCAGGGAAUAACAGAUGCUGGUGAGGAUGCAGAGAAAGGUGAACCUUUGUACCCUGUUGGUGGGAAU
rnacentral:lncRNA from 1 species